UACGUGGGGGGCUAGCGUUGUCCGGAAUCAUUGGGCGUAAAGCGCGUGUAGGCGGUCCGGUAAGUCCGCUGUGAAAGUCGAGGGCUCAACCCUCGAAUGCCGGUGGAUACUGUCGGGCUAGAGUACGGAAGAGGCGAGUGGAAUUCCUGGCGUAGCGGUGAAAUGCGCAGAUAUCAGGAGGAACACCAAUUGCGAAGGCAGCUCGCUGGGACGUUACUGACGCUGAGACGCGAAAGCGUGGGGAGCAAACAGG
rnacentral:rRNA from 1 species